rnacentral:rRNA from 1 species
CAGUAAGUUAGCCGGNGCUUNUUCUGCAGGUACCGUCAUUAGCAAGCUAUGUUAGAGCUCACCGUUUCGUUACCUNGCUAGAAAGAGCUUUACAACCCGAAGGCCUUCUUCACUCACGCGGAAUGGCUAGGAUCAGGGUCUGCCCCCAUUAGUCCAAAAUUCCCCACUGCUGCCUCCCGUAGGA